rnacentral:rRNA from 1 species
UGUAAGCGUAUACCAAAGUUGUUGCAGUUAAAACGCUCGUAGUCGGAAUUUGGCAGUUCCGGAAGUGUGCACGUCGUGUGCGCACUUUGCGGGGACUGCUUUUGUGGUCUUGCGUAGGAUGAGGCACUUUCAUUAGUGAACGUCCUCACGCAACCACUCUUUACUGCGAGAAAAUCGGAGUGCUCAAAGCAGGCAUUUGCCGUGAAUGUAUUAGCAUGGAAUAAUAGAAUAGGACUCGGUUCUAUUUUGUUGGUUUGUUGGGACUGAGUAAUGAUUAAGAGGGACAGUUGGGGGCAUUUGUAUUCCGGCGCUAGAGGUGAAAUUCUUAGAUUGCCGGAAGACAAACUGCUGCGAAAGCGUCUGCCAAGGAUGUUUUCAUUGA